rnacentral:rRNA from 1 species
UUGAACGCUGGCGGCAGGCCUAACCCAUGCAAGUCGAACGGUAACAGGAAGCAGCUUGCUGCUUUGCUGACGAGUGGCGGACGGGUGAGUAAUGUCUGGGAAACUGCCCGAUGGAGGGGGAUAACUACUGGAAACGGUAGCUAAUACCGCAUAACGUCGCAAGACCAAAGAGGGGGACCUUAGGGCCUCUUGCCAUCCGAUGUGCCCAGAUGGGAUUAGCUAGUAGGUGGGGUAACGGCUCACCUAGGCGACGAUCCCUAGCUGGUCUGAGAGGAUGACCAGCCACACUGGAACUGAGACACGGUCCAGACUCCUACGGGAGGCAGCAGUGGGGAAUAUUGCACAAUGGGCGCAAGCCUGAUGCAGCCAUGCCGCGUGUAUGAAGAAGGCCUUCGGGUUGUAAAGUACUUUCAGCGGGGAGGAAGGGAGUAAAGUUAAUACCUUUGCUCAUUGACGUUACCCGCAGAAGAAGCACCGGCUAACUCCGUG